rnacentral:rRNA from 1 species
CCCGACUACAUGAAGCCGGAAUCGCUAGUAAUCGCGGAUCAGCACGCCGCGGUGAAUACGUUCCCGGGCCUUGUACACACCGCCCGUCACACCAUGGAAGUCUGCAAUGCCCGAAGCCGGUGGCCUAACCACUUAUGGUGGAAGGAGCCGUCUAAGGCAGGGCAGAUGACUGGGGUGAAGUCGUAACAAGGUACC